UACGUAGGGCGCAAGCGUUAUCCGGAAUUAUUGGGCGUAAAGAGCUCGUAGGCGGUUUGUCGCGUCUGCCGUGAAAGUCCGGGGCUCAACUCCGGGUCUGCAUUCGAUACGGGCAGGCUAGAGUUCGGUAGGGGAGAUCGGAAUUCCUGGUGUAGCGGUGAAAUGCGCAGAUAUCAGGAGGAACAUCCGUGGCGAAGGCGGCUACCUGGACCAGCACUGACACUGAGGCACGAAAGCGUGGGGAGCAAACAGG
rnacentral:rRNA from 1 species